rnacentral:rRNA from 1 species
CCUCUAAGCUCCAGGUAACAUUAAAUCGUACCCCAAACCGACACAGGUGGUCAGGUAGAGAAUACCAAGGCGCUUGAGAGAACUCGGGUGAAGGAACUAGGCAAAAUGGUGCCGUAACUUCGGGAGAAGGCACGCUGGCAUGUAGGUGAAGUCCCUUGCGGAUGGAGCUGAAGCCAGUCGAAGAUACCAGCUGGCUGCAACUGUUUAAUAAAAACACAGCACUGUGCAAACACGAAAGUGGACGUAUACGGUGUGACGCCUGCCCGGUGCUGGAAGGUUAAUUGAUGGGGUCAGCCGCAAGGCGAAGCUCUUGAUCGAAGCCCCAGUAAACGGCGGCCGUAACUAUAACGGUCCUAAGGUAGCGAAAUUCCUUGUCGGGUAAGUUCCGACCUGCACGAAUGGCGUAAUGAUGGCCAGGCUGUCUCCACCCGAGACUCAGUGAAAUUGAACUCGCUGUGAAGAUGCAGUGUACCCGCGGCAAGACGGAAAGACCCCGUGAACCUUUACUAUAGCUUGACACUGAACAUUGAGCCUUGAUGUGUAGGAUAGGUGGGAGGCUUUGAAGCGUGGACGCCAGUCUGCGUGGAGCCAUCCUUGAAAUACCACCCUUUAAUGUUUGAUGUUCUAACUCGGCCCCAUAAUCUGGGGUGAGGACAGUGUCUGGUGGGUAGUUUGACUGGGGCGGUCUCCUCCCAAAGAGUAACGGAGGAGCACGAAGGUUAGCUAAUCACGGUCGGACAUCGUGAGGUUAGUGCAAAGGCAUAAGCUAGCUUGACUGCGAGAGUGACGGCUCGAGCAGGUACGAAAGUAGGUCUUAGUGAUCCGGUGGUUCUGAAUGGAAGGGCCAUCGCUCAACGGAUAAAAGGUACUCCGGGGAUAACAGGCUGAUACCGCCCAAGAGUUCAUAUCGACGGCGGUGUUUGGCACCUCGAUGUCGGCUCAUCACAUCCUGGGGCUGAAGUAGGUCCCAAGGGUAUGGCUGUUCGCCAUUUAAAGUGGUACGCGAGCUGGGUUUAGAACGUCGUGAGACAGUUCGGUCCCUAUCUGCCGUGGGCGUUGGAAGAUUGAGAGGGGUUGCUCCUAGUACGAGAGGACCGGAGUGAACGCACCACUGGUGUUCGGGUUGUCAUGCCAAUGGCAUUGCCCGGUAGCUAAGUGCGGAAAAGAUAAGCGCUGAAAGCAUCUAAGCGCGAAACUUGCCUCAAGAUGAGUCUUCCCUGGGCCUU